UACGUAGGGUGCGAGCGUUAAUCGGAAUUACUGGGCGUAAAGCGUGCGCAGGCGGUAAUGCAAGACAGAUGUGAAAUCCCCGGGCUUAACCUAGGAACUGCAUUUGUGACUGCAUUGCUGGAGUGCGGCAGAGGGGGAUGGAAUUCCGCGUGUAGCAGUGAAAUGCGUAGAUAUGCGGAGGAACACCGAUGGCGAAGGCAAUCCCCUGGGCCUGCACUGACGCUCAUGCACGAAAGCGUGGGGAGCAAACAGG
rnacentral:rRNA from 1 species